UCAAGACAUUUUAAACCCUGAGGAAGAGAGAUGUGGCUCACAGACCCAGUGGACACAUGCGAGAAUGGCAGCCAUGACUGACCUGCAGGAGGAUGUAGGCGUCUGCUGUGGAUUCAGUGUUUUGGAUUGGAUCCAACCGCCGCCACCAGGCUAACCCGCCCGACCAGCAUUUCGUGCCGGCUUCACGCUCCAGCCUAUUCUCGCUCCACACAGCACCGUAGCCAUCCACCGUGCCUCCACUCAUCUGCCUGCAUAUACUCCACCUUAAAUUACAAUAAAUCUGUUCACUUCUUCCCCCUCAA